rnacentral:tRNA from 1 species
GCCUCUUUGGCGCAGUGGUAACGCGUAGCACUUGUACAGCUAAUCACAGUUGAAAUGCUAAGAUCACAGGUUCGAUUCCUGUAGGAGGCA